GAUGAACGCUGGCGGCGUGCUUAACACAUGCAAGUCGAACGAAGCACUUUAUUUGAUUUCCUUCGGGACUGAUUAUUUUGUGACUGAGUGGCGGACGGGUGAGUAACGCGUGGGUAACCUGCCUUGUACAGGGGGAUAACAGUUGGAAACGGCUGCUAAUACCGCAUAAGCGCACAGCGUCGCAUGAUGCAGUGUGAAAAACUCCGGUGGUAUAAGAUGGACCCGCGUUGGAUUAGCUAGUUGGUGAGGUAACGGCCCACCAAGGCGACGAUCCAUAGCCGACCUGAGAGGGUGACCGGCCACAUUGGGACUGAGACACGGCCCAAACUCCUACGGGAGGCAGCAGUGGGGAAUAUUGCACAAUGGGCGAAAGCCUGAUGCAGCGACGCCGCGUGAGCGAAGAAGUAUUUCGGUAUGUAAAGCUCUAUCAGCAGGGAAGAUAAUGACGGUACCUGACUAAGAAGCACCGG
rnacentral:rRNA from 1 species